CAGCAGCAGCAGCAGCAGCAAUUCAUGGCCAUCACUAUGUCGCAUGCUAGGAUGAAGAGGCAAGAUCACCUUAUUCCUUCUGUUUGUGAAGAAAAUAGAGUUGGGUUUUGAGCUGGUGGUGUUGUACUGCCGUUGCAAUUACUCUGCAAUGAGCAAAUGUGAAACGGAAUGGGGUCAGAGAGCUAUUACAGUCGGACGAUGGACAGACGGCAAACAUUAUUUCAUUCUUUACUUCUGUCAAGGACUAGGUGCUUUAUUUGGGCAUGGUCGAAAAAGGUAAAUAACGAUCUGAGGUGUAACUGGGAAAUCAAAAUAGCACGGAAAGAAGAGCAAGCUGGGAAACCAGAUGCCUACUGCCAAGGAUGGUUUACAUAGAGAAAUCUGCAGCAUCUUCUUAUGAGCUCAUUUAAAACGGAGUGUUGCCAGAACAUAGAAAUUUGCUUUUGCCCAUACUCCCUUUGAGUAUGAAUACCUUUGUACACAUUCUUAAUCCUCUUCUGCUUAUGUAUGAUUUUUAUCUACUUGUAUUUUACAAGAUCAGCAGUUCGAAAAUG
rnacentral:misc_RNA from 1 species